rnacentral:lncRNA from 1 species
GUGAGGUUUAAAUAAACCCUUGUUGAACAUAUUGCCUGGUACAGAGUAAGCACUUAAUACCUAUUACUAUUAUUAUGACAAGUAUAGUGCUUUAUAUUUUACACUUUACAAGGUACUUUCACAUACAGUCUCUCAUUUGAGAUAAUUAGUUCCUGGAUGACAGUACAAAUUUUAUCACAGAAAGAACUACGUGCAAAUAUUUAAUAAGCAUGAUUGCUAUUGGAUUUGCUCAGAUGGAAAAGCAGCAGAUUACAUUCCCUUUGCUUUGAUGUGAGAUCACAAUGUGUUAAAGCUAUCUUUUAUACCCACUUUAUAUUUGGGGAAGAGAAAUGUGAACAAACUUCCUGAAGCCAGGGAGGGCAGUCAGCUCUCUAACCAGCCCUCACUAGAUGAUGCAAUACUCAGAACACGCUAUCUUCUGCUCUGGUGCUCGACGGAUCCUGAA